UCGUCACUCUUUACCCGGCUACACUUGAAGUAAUUCUCCAAGUGCCACAAGAAAUUCUCCACCUCUUAGGCAUCGCGGAUGCCUUUAAACAUAGGUGGCUUGGGAGCCUCGACCCUGGCCUCCCUAUCACGGUCGGGUGAUGCCGAUCCUCCAGCUUCUAUGCCUUCUUUGAGUGUCCUCAUUUCGGCCUUCAUGGUUUCAAUUGUGUUCAAUGCCUCCAUGAGCCGGCACUCCAAGGA
rnacentral:lncRNA from 1 species